rnacentral:rRNA from 1 species
GAUGAACGCUGGCGGCGUGCUUAACACAUGCGAGUCGAACGGAAAGGCCCAAGCUUGCUUGGGUGCUCGAGUGGCGAACGGGUGAGUAACACGUGGGUGAUCUGCCCUGCACUUUGGGAUAAGCCUGGGAAACUGGGUCUAAUACCGGAUAGGACCAUCGUUUAGUGUCGGUGGUGGAAAGUUUUUCGGUGUGGGAUGAGCUCGCGGCCUAUCAGCUUGUUGGUGGGGUAAUGGCCUACCAAGGCGUCGACGGGUAGCCGGCCUGAGAGGGUGUACGGCCACAUUGGGACUGAGAUACGGCCCAGACUCCUACGGGAGGCAGCAGUGGGGAAUAUUGCACAAUGGGCGCAAGCCUGAUGCAGCGACGCCGCGUGGGGGAUGACGGCCUUCGGGUUGUAAACUCCUUUCGCCAAGGACGAAGCGUUUUGUGACGGUACUUGGAGAAGAAGCACCGGCUAACUACGUG